UAAUAUUUCUGUUUAUUUUAAUUAAAUAAAUAUGUUAAAUGUGCUCUAAACAGGUCAUUUUGGUCCACUACAGCACUGAUAGAAGCACUUCAUUUUCAUCUUUUAACAAAUAUCUUUAUUUUCUUUUAAUAUGAUAUUAUUGGCAGAGGCGCGCGACCAUCUCAUGCUUUGUGGUCACGUGAUUAUUCAACCGGAGACGCGCGUUAGGGAUUUUCUCCUCAGACCAGUGUUUCUGUUUUGUGGUCGAUUCUGGGAUCCUUUUCUUGGUGUGUCUUGAUGUUUUCUAUUGGCUAAAGACAUGUCUCUGUGAAACUGACAAUCUCAGGUAGGAGCUGCUGGUUUGUGGUUGGCAGUAUGGAUCACAGUCUGCGACUCAUGAGGAGCUGGGCUGGAGACAUGAAGAGGUUGUUAACAGGCCAUCCAUCCAAGAUCAUCUAUCUGAGCUGCUGAAAACUGCCUCGGUACGGAUCUGUUGGAGCUUUGUGUCACUGACUGUAUUUCUGCAAAUUCCUGUUCUGUGUCAAAUGGCUUAUGCAAGACUGAAUCCAUAAAGGGGAUGGUCUGUGGAGACUGUGGGCGAUUCCUUCUGCUGUCAUUUAAACAUGAGCAGGAGUAAUGACGGGAUUUAAAUGGACGAAGCUAAUAUUAUGCCAGAGUCCGCUGCUUCAUCGAUUACCCACAGAAGAACUUUAUUAACCCCUUGGAGCGGUGUGGAUUACUUCUUUAAAGGCUGCACUUCUUUGGGAAAAUGUACCCUGAUCCAUGUUUUUUCCCAUAUUAAGCUCGGAAAAGCAAGGACAUUUACUAAAAUAACUCAAUGUGUUCGUCUGAACAUGUGUAUGUCGAGUUACUGAGUGUGAGUACAUCACGGGGUAAUUUUAAAAUCUGUCUGAAGCAUUGCUUUAAAUAUUUAAAUGGAGUAUAGCAAUACAUAAUUGGGACUAAAUAACAAAGGUAAAAUAAAAUAUAAAUUCCUUUUAAUAUUAGUGUACCUAAUUGGAUUGAUCAUGCUUUACUUUUUGUUAAGACAACCCCUGUUUUUAA